rnacentral:rRNA from 1 species
AUUGAACGCUGGCGGCAGGCCUAACACAUGCAAGUCGAGCGGAUGAAGGGAGCUUGCUCCUGGAUUCAGCGGCGGACGGGUGAGUAAUGCCUAGGAAUCUGCCUGGUAGUGGGGGAUAACGUCCGGAAACGGGCGCUAAUACCGCACACGCCCUGAGGGAGAAAGUGGGGGAGCUUCGGACCUCACGCUAUCAGAUGAGCCUAGGUCGGAUUAGCUAGUUGGUGGGGUAAAGGCCUACCAAGGCGACGAUCCGUAACUGGUCUGAGAGGAUGAUCAGUCACACUGGAACUGAGACACGGUCCAGACUCCUACGGGAGGCAGCAGUGGGGAAUAUUGGACAAUGGGCGAAAGCCUGAUCCAGCAAUGCCGCGUGUGGGAAGAAGGUCUUCGGAUUGUAAAGCACUUUUAGUUGGGAGGAAGGGCAGUAAGUUAAUACCUUGCUGUAUUGACGUUACCAACAGAAUAAGCACCGGCUAACUUCGUG